ensembl:lncRNA
GCUGUACAAAGCAGAAAAUUGAUUUUCAUUACUGAUUAUACCUCCCUGCCCUUACUCUCAAAUCUUGCAGGGUACAAACCUGCUCCCAGAUCAAUCUUCUUGCUUUGCUGGAGUCUUGUAAAGUGCUCACUAAUGCUUUCUGUGAGAGAUUCCGUCAUCUUCAAGGUGGGGAGGAUGAUCACUAUUACAGAAGAGCAUAAGGGCUUACCAGCUCUUUAUGUCUCAGGCUAGACAAGGGCAUACAGAAAGCACAAACUUCUUUCAUCGCAGUUUAUUGCUCCCUUCAGAAGAACAACAUUCCUACUUCUGCUGACCCAACUGGUAAGACCCUGACUUUGCAACUGUUAGCACGCAGGGAGGAGCCUAUGCAGAUAAUUGUAAUGCAGAGGGAAAGACUACAUGGAUAUCUGUUUUGAAAGACCUCAGCGCUGGAGAACAGAGGUCCCCUAACGGAGAGAGGAAAAUCUCUCCCUCGGAAGCUGUUUGCCCCUGGGAGACCCUGCACCCUCAACCUGGUGGUUCCACGCUAUGUCACGAGAUGGCAGUAUUUAACUUCCACUGUUCUGUUCUAUGUACGUUUAAGAUGAAGGUCGCUUUCUGCAAAUGGAUAUUAUUUCAGUGCACAUAUUUCCUGCCUGGUUGUGAGCAGCUCCUUCUGCAUAUGUUGGACGUGGUGCUCAGCACUUGGACUUCAGCACCUCUGAGCUGUGAGGACAGCUCUCCAAAUUGGAGAGUGGGGACCACUUGGAAUAAUCCUUUGGUCAAGUGAGUUGGAUCACGAGAAAGCAGAAAGCAGAAAGGGAGCUCCCAUUUGCAAUGGAAGUAGACUGAACAUAACAGAAGGAUGUCUUUAGCUCUACAAUUUGCAACUGAUUAUGAAGCACACAAGGAUUUCAUUUCCUGUAACAUCACCCAUAAAUCACUGCAUCUUACCAGGAUUAAUUUAUCCAAAUAAUGAUCAGAGACUUCUACAGGCUGCACUCAGGUGACACGCAGCUUUCAGCUGUACAGGAGAGAACCCUGCAGGCCUUGGCAUCUCUAGAGAGUCCUAAAAAUAAAUGUUGAAGUGGAGUGUCUGGGAAGAUUGAUGUACCUGCUGCAGCAAUAUCAAAUAAUGCAUUUACUGUACAAGGUCCUGCCUGCCCAGAAGGCUGAUCUUGACUUACUGCUGCACCUACAUUAAAUUCAGGUUUUUCAUAAGAAGGCCAGAAAACAUUCUGAAAAUCUUCUACUGUUUAAGUAUUGAAAAAAAAAUGCAGGUAGAGACAAGUAGUGCUUUGUGCUGUUACGAUGCAAAUAUUGUAUUGUCAGAGAAGUAGGUAACUACCUUGCUGUUAAACCUUAAAAUACAAAUUCAGAAGCUUUUGCUAAUUCAUCCUUUGUGACUCAUUCUGCAGAGUUCUCAACACUGAUUACUUAGACAUCCUGAGACCAGCCGUGCUUCAUAUAUGUCCUUUGCAAAGUGUUCUACUGAAAUUGCUUACUCGCUAAUUAUUCUAAUCAGAUGACAAUUUCCUGAAUGGCAUUGUUGAAUACCUUGGCUUGUUCACUCACUUUUGUUGCCCAGUGUAACUGCCAUUGCAAUAUGAUGAAAUUUUUUCUUUCCGCUCAAGACUUUUAUGUUUCAUUUCAUGUUUGUAUUACUGAUUUGGAGUCAGCUCUGUUAUUACUGACAGACAUUCAUGUGACUUUUUCCAAGUGAUUUCCAAGCAAAACAUUCUGUGAAGAAGAUUGGCAUAAAUAUUCUUUGCUAUAAGAAAAAGAGUGGGAAAGAGAGAUUUAAUUAUCAAGACUAAAUUGCUGUCUCAGACUUCCAGUGCCUUACAAAUACUCAAAGAAGUCUCUUUAAUUAAAGUAAAAUUAUACUUUAUGUUCAUUUUUUCCUUUUUUUUUUUUUUUUCCUAUGUGUGCUUGUUUGUUUUUCCUGACAGGCUUAUUUCUUUUUCUGUGUACCUGCCAAGAGAAAAAGUUUGUUAGAUGGUUUAUUUAAAAGUAAGCAAGCUUGAUUUUGAAUAAACUGUGAUGAAGUGGUUUCAUGCUUUCCUACUAUCCAUUUUUAGCUCUUUCAGGCCUACAAAAUUGUAACAUUUUGUACAGACAUUUUCUGGUCAUGACUGUGCCCCAAGCUGGUUACCUGGG